CGCGCGUCUCCCGGCUGGAGAGGUGACGCGCGGCUAUUGAGGCUCUUGCCAUAGCCGCCCGUCACCUCUCCAGCUGGGAGAGCGCGCGCGGGGCUGCUGGAGAGGUGACGGGCGGCUAUAGAAGCUCCUGCCAUAGCCGCCCGUCACCCUCCCGCCGGGAGACGGUCGCGGGGGGCGGCUUUCGCCCCGAGCGCCCUCUCCCGGCUGGAGAGGUGACGCACGGCUAUGGCAGGAGCCUCAAUAGCCGCCCGUCACCUCUCCAGCCGGGAGAGCGCGCGC